rnacentral:tRNA from 1 species
GGAGGGUAUAGCUCAGUGGUAGAAUGUGUGCUUAGCAUGCACAAGGUCCUGGGUUCAAUCCCCAGUACCUCCA